rnacentral:rRNA from 1 species
UACGGGGGGGGCAAGCGUUGUUCGGAAUUACUGGGCGUAAAGGGCGCGUAGGCGGUCCGCUAAGUUGGAUGUGAAAACUCUGGGCUUAACCCAGAGCCUGCAUUCAAAACUGACGGGCUAGAGUUCUGGAGGGGAUAGCGGAAUUCCUGGUGUAGCGGUGAAAUGCGUAGAUAUCAGGAGGAACACCGGUGGCGAAGGCGGCUAUCUGGACAGAAACUGACGCUGAGGCGCGAAAGCUAGGGGAGCGAACAGG